ensembl:snRNA U6 U6 spliceosomal RNA
GCACUCACUUCAGCAGCACAUAUACUAAAAUUAGAACGAUACAGAGAAGAUUAGCAUGGCCCCUGUGCAAGGAUGAUAUGCAAAUUUGCAAAGCAUUCCACAGUUUA